UUGGAGGGCAAGUCUGGUGCCAGCAGCCGCGGUAAUUCCAGCUCCAAUAGCGUAUAUUAAAGUUGUUGCAGUUAAAAAGCUCGUAGUUGAACUUCGGGGUCUACCCAUUGGUCAGGCUUAAUUGUCUGUACUGGUGAGAUGGAUCUCUACCUUCUGAGGAACUUUCAUGCCAUUUAUUUGGUGUGAUUGGAAAUCAGAACUGUUACUUUGAAAAAAUUAGAGUGUUUAAAGCAGACUAUCGUCUGAAUACAUUAGCAUGGAAUAAUGAAAUAGGACGGACUGAUUCUAUUUCGUUGGUUUCUAGGAUCACCGUAAUGAUUAAUAGGGAUAGUUGGGGGCAUUAGUAUUCAAUUGUCAGAGGUGAAAUUCUUGGAUUUAUUGAAGACUAACUACUGCGAAAGCAUUUGCCAAGGAUGUUUUCAUUAAUCAAGAACGAAAGUUAGGGGAUCGAAGACGAUCAGAUACCGUCGUAGUCUUAACCAUAAACUAUGCCGACUAGGGAUCGGACGAAGUUAAUUUUAUAAUGACGCGUUCGGCACCUUACGGGAAACCAAAGUGUUUGGGUUC
rnacentral:rRNA from 1 species